UGAGAAGAACUUUCAUUAGAGGUGUUCUAAGGGCAUUCACAACGCAGAUCAUUAGCAUAAGGUCCUUACCAAAAAAUAAUAAAAUAUUGCAUGGGUCCCAUUGUUUUUUAAAAAAUAGAUCUUUUAAAUUGUUAUAUAAAGACUGAUCUUCACUUGUUUCUUGCACUGAUCGCAGGUCCUACUGAUAAAUGGCGGCCCGCAAUUGGUUCGACUUUUUAUUUAUUUAUUUUUUAUCAGAAAAAAAACAAAAAAAAAACAAAAGAAAGUUUAACCGGGCCGGAAUUCUCAGCGAUAAUCAUGGUCUAAAAGGGUAAAGGUUCAGGUAGACAGCAUCACGUAUCCAACGUGGCUUUCGAUACGUUAUGUUAGUGUUGGAGAUAUAUUACAUCUCUUGGAUAAUACUCACUAAACAAACAGAAUUCAGUCCAAUUGAAUUCAAGUCAGCCCAAUCGAAGAUGAAGUCGGCACAAUUUCAAAUCGAUUUGAUAGAAAAAAAUAAAAAAGACUUGUAUAUAAGGAGUAAGCCACCGAGGAGUCGGUUAUCAAAGUCGGUAGCACAAAAGUUCUAAUUGUGACAUCGGGUCGGUCCAAGUUUUUAUUUGCAUUUUGCAUACCUAAGGGAGAGAUAUAUAAUUGAUUCCGGUUUUGGCCUUUUGACUCAAUAACUUUCAACUUGCGACCCACAUAACUUCAUUUUUUAACAAUUUAAAAACGACCCAAACACUUUCGGACCCAAUGAAAAGCAACUCUACACACGUGCGAGUCCGACCCCACCUUCCGCCGGAGGAAAUUUUUUUUUUUCGCAACCCGUCGGAGUUACUUUAUGUGACUGGUAACUGUUGGGGAAAAAUACUCAGGUAUUGAAUCCUCCAAACCCCAGGCAUGACACCGGCCUCUGGAUCCCCGCUGGAAGGAACCCGGUUCCAGGAUCUCCGCUAGAAGGAACCCCGGUUCCCCGCUGUGGAGUUUUCCGGGUCCGGUCCAAGGAUCGCCCCCCUUCCUCUGGGAAAUGGAAAACUUCCGAUAAGGAGAACCUUCCAUAUUUUCGAAUAUGGAAGAGUUUAACCUACUCCAACCGACUAAGGCCCGCCUUAGGAAGACUAUAUAUGGGGAACCCAAGCCCUAAAGCAAGGGAUCGAUACUUCGAGACAUAGAGAUUAGAGCUAGGCGGCUAGAACUAGGGUUCUUACUCAAAAUUCUUGUAGUUCCACCUCUUUGAUAUAAUAAAACGUCUCCUUCUACUUUCGUACUCGCAAAUCAAUACAAAUACAAGCCUUAUCCAUCGUUCCGUAGUACUCACAAAAAUUCUACACAAAAUUCUCCCAACAGUUUGGCGCUAGAAGGAGGGGAGUAAUCUAAGCUACGUGAUAAUGGCGGUGGAUGAGCAUGACGAGCUACCCGAAGCUACCCAGAGAGAAGCCGAACUCCAGAGGCAAAUCGACGAUCUGCAAGGUCAAGUAACCGGGUUGCAUCGAACUCGAGAAGAGACCAAUCCCGAGCUUUCCUCGGAGUUUCAGAUCCUGAAGGAAAAACUCAACGAACACUCGAAGCAACUGGAGUAGAGCGCCGAGAAGCUCAGCCAGCUCGAAUCGGAGAAUCUCACCCUCUGAGACGAAAGCCAAGCCCUUAACACGGCAAGCAACAAGAAGCGUCGAUUCCGGACUCGGGUUCGCCACAUGCCGACUCUGGAAACACCCAACUCCGAGACAGGCGCGAAGCCCCCAAUUACGACGACGGGAGGAGACGCGUCUACGCAAGAAAAAGCCAAGGAUGCUCAGGCUUAUGACGUGGAUGAUAGCGACUCGGAGCCCGAGCCUAAUAAGGAAAUAUCAGACGGAGCUGCGAGAACGGAGUCUCCUAUGAUCGCUCACCUUCACCAAAUGUUCUCCGAUAGGCUCGACGCCAUGCGGUCCAUGGUAAGAGAGACUCCCGGGGGUAGCUCCCUCCAUCCGGAAGAGCAACCCUGAUUCCUAUGCUGAUACUCCUUUCAUGGAUGAGAUCACCUUGAUCGAGAUGCCCAUGAAGUUCUCUUUCCCCAGCAUAAAGGCCUACGAUGGCACCACUGAUCUGGACGACCACGUCGCCCAAUAUCGACAAAGGAUGCUCGCCAUUGCACUCCCAAAGGGGUCACGCGAAGCUACCAUGUGCAAAGGUUUCGGCUCCACCUUGACCGGAUCCACUCUGCAAUGGUAUAUCAAUUUGCCCUCCAGGUCCAUAGCCUCCUUCGCGGUUCUCAGCUACAAAUUUGUGGAGCAAUUCGCCAGCAGCAGGGACCUGGAGAAAACUUCUGACAGCUUCUACGAAAUCCUCCAGCACCGAGCGGAACCCCUGCGAGGCUACAUAGCCCGCUUCAAUCAAGAAAAUGUGGUUAUCCCCAAAUGCAGCAUCUCCACUGCUAUCUCUGUUUUCAAGAGAGGUCUGCUCCCCGACGGAGACCUCUACAAGAAACUGACCAAUUACAAGUGCAAAACUAAGCGGAUUGUCAUUCCGAGUUAUUUUCUGAAAGUUGUGUUUGUUUUCGCGAGAGGUAUUGCUGUAGUCUUUGUAUGCGACCAGCCUGGAGGUGAAGCCAUUUUGGUUGAUCAAAUGGUGGCCGAUCGUAGUAAAACCGGUGGCUAUGGACAAAGAACAUAUAGUACUGCAUUCUGACCGGAGGGAUCGAAUGUUUAACGGUCAGUUCUUAAAUUAUUCAUCUGUUCUCUCGAGGGUUCAGGUCUGCCGAAAUCCUCAUAUUUGUCUAUUUUCAGAAAGUUCAGGAGUUGUUAUUUUAGAGCCGUUAAAGUCCAUUCGGUGUGUUCUCAGGUUUUCUGAAGAACCUGUGGCAAAGGUAAGGGUCUUUUCCCGAAUUUCUCUUACACGGCUUAGGACUUCGAAUAAGUAUAAUUUAUUUCUAAUAUGUUCCGUCUGCGUGAAAUCGAGUCUGUCAUUGCUUGUUUAGUUUUUAGGUUCUUUGCUUAAACCGGAAUUAGGGUGUUAGAGGAUUCAACAAUGAUUGUUUCAUUUAAAAUUGGUAAAUAAAAAUAGUUGUUUUAUUAAGAGUUAUGUGAUUGUUUGAGACGGAUACAGAGACGGACUUUUGUAUGCCGGAUUGUGUGGAGGUUACGGUCAGCUAUAGUCGAACGGUUGACGCGUAACCCAGGAGGUCGAUAAAUCGUCUACAGGCGUGUGUUACCGAGCACUUGUUCGGUGUGUGUAUGAACCGAGCACCUUUUCGGUGGUGUUUUUGGCCUGUUAGUGGGCAGCGAAUGUGCACCUCGCUAGGACUAUUGUUUGAUCUCUGGAUACUUUAGGUACCGUGUUAGGAUUAAAUUAUAUUUAUUCGGAGUGCUUUGUCCGGGUCCAUGAAUUUCGGGUUUAGUAUCUCAUACCUCACUGAGUGACUUCCCCGUUACUCACCCCUCUUUCUUUCCCAUUUCAGAUGAGACAGACGAGUAUAUGAUAUUUGGACGGAUUGGUGCUACUGGAUUUUUUAUUCGGAUUUGUAUUUGAGCUUAGAGUGAGUUGAAUCGUGUAUAUGGACUAUUGUGUUAUGAGGCAUUGUUGGUGGCACGCUGUUCUCCAGAUAGGAGGUGACGGGUGUCACAGAUACCUUUGCUUGCUCUUGAAUACCAACCUCCUAGGUAAUGAUUCUUCUUUACCUUCGAAAAGAGUUUAUGCUUUGGCUUGAUUCUUUUGUUUUGUUAGGACUAAUUCAUUCAAAACGGUGGAAGCCUCGUUGAGAAUUGAUGGAGUAGCUAGUGCUGGUUUCAAGAUUUCGCGGUCAAAGCUAGUUAAUCUGAUUAGUAGUGGGGACAUUCGGGUUAACUGGGCAACGGUUACCAAGAACGGAACCAUGGUAAAGACUGGUGAUGUUGUCUCUGUUACCGGGAAAGGGAGACUCAAGGUAAGACUGUAAGAGGGAAAAUGGCCUAUUCUUCUAUGAACUAAUUGUUUCCGGUUUUUUCACACACAGAUUUUUAAGUCAUGCCAAAAACCACAUGAACAACGGAAAAGUGGUUUAUUCCCCUAUGAACUAGUUUUUUCUGGUUUUUCACACACGAACUUUUAAAUCAUGCCAAAAAACACAUGAACAACUCUAUUUUUGAAUAACAUACACAAACUAUCGAUUUUUAAACUAAUUCCUCUAAAACUGUAAAUGGUGUUAUUUAAAUGUUAACUAGUUUGUGAUAGGUGGAGAGCCGGUUUGAUUUGGAUUAAUAAAAAAAUUACUAUGUAGUUUUAUCUUUUUUCUCUUUUUUUUUGUCAACUGUUCUUCUUUUUCAGAAAUAGUUUUACUUUUCGUCAUCAAUUGGAGAUAAAAUUUAUAAUUCUGCAGAAGAAUAAAAUGUUUUACAUGAUGCAUAAAAAAAAAAGAAAAGCAGUCCACAAGGAAUUAUAAAAUCGGUGCAGUAUCCCCAACUGAUGAUGAAGAGUAAAACGAUUUCUGAAAAAAAAAAAGCAAUUGACAAAAAAAAUAAAGAAUAAAACGACAGUAUUUUUUUAUCAAUCCAAAUUAAACAGGCUUUCCAUAUGUCAUAAACCAAAUUGAUUGUGUAAUUACUAAAAUGACUCAUAUUUUUUGAAAAUUAUUAGAAUAUUUUUUGGUCGAAAUUGCCCCUGCCCAUAGUUAUAAUUAAAAAAAAUUAUUACAAAAAUACCCUUACAUCUGAUCGACGGCAGAUUUUUUUUUUUAAAAAAAAAAUAAAUCUAUCGAAUAAUAAGUCUGUUUAUAAAAUCUGUAUGAAAAAAUAAAUCUACCAUUAAAGUGGUGACAGACUUUUUUAAAAACGUCAGAUUUGUUUACACGGCAGAGUUAAUUGUUUGAUUUAAAUAGAAAAUAUAUUUUUAUGAAUAUAUCUGUCAAAUGAGGUAGCAGAUUUGUUAUGAAUGGUAGGUUUUUGUGGUCAACUUAUUUUCUUAUGUUCGACUUAUUUUUUUUACGGCAGAGUUAUAUAUAUGAUCUAAAAUUGUUGGUAGAUUUUUUGCUUAUAUGGUUGUAGACUUUUUGAUUUAUGUUGUGGAAGAUUUAUUGACGGAAAUUUGGGUUUAUGUAAAUCAGAUUUAAUUUAAUAUCUAAUUUUGAUCCGGUUUACAUUAAUUUCAAAUCUUGUUUAUUUUUAGGUUAACUAAUAUCAUAAUUAGGUAAUUUUUGGUACUUGUCAUCAUCUUUUUUAUCUUUCUUUUCUUCUUCGUCAAGUUAUUCUCUUUCGUGGUGGUUUAAUCACUUCUAUAGAGAUAAUGAAUUUGUUUAGAGAUGCUCAAAGAAAAAUAAGUUUAAGCUACCAAAGCUAAUUAAAAAUAGUAUACUUAGCACCACGAACUGUCAAGCAAUGCAGACAGUUCAUUAUAUAAUAUUAGUGAAUUUCAUAGUAAUCAGUCAAUAUUCAGUAGCAUGUAAAUGUGAUAAUCGAUCAUUGAUUUCGACAAGAAAAUAAACGAAACAACUCGGCUACAUGAAUGUUACAUGUUGAGAAACAGACGACAUAACAAAAAGAAACAAGAACAGAUUAUCAUCUAAACGAGUUUCCGCAUUCCUCAUACAGGUAUACAUUCUCUGGCUUAGCUCUUCGCACGUCAGCUCGUGAUUAUUUAUGUUUCCCAUUUGAAGAUGCAAACUGUAGACGAGCCUUUCUCCAUGAGACCUAGAAGAUGAAACAUCAACAAAGAACAAACCCAUCUUCUUCCGAAUCUGGGCAAAGCAUAAACCAGAGGAC